CUAAUUGACUAGGUACUUAGGUGGUAAAUGUGACAUCAGCAUUUGCCAGUUUGUUGUGUUGUGUUACUGUGUGUGGACACUGCUUUAUAGUGCGUGGGUACGCAAGCGUUUUGUAGUGCUUCCCAUAGUUACAGCAUGUCUGAGCCAUCAAAGCCUCAUCUUAUUUUUCUCAAGUUUUGUUUCAUAGUGAUCAGUCCUCGUUUCAUGCUUUUGGACCUCGCCUCUAGUCUAUCGUUUGUGUGCCUUCUCAGACUGCUACACUGUGUAUGACGUUGACUUGGAAUUAAACCACUCUUAAUAUCAUGUCCUUGUUUUGGAGUCCCGCAUUUGGGUCCAACCCCCGUGCCGCUGGUGCUUGACAGAAUGAACUGGCCAGAACAGGACCCAUCAGGGAAGACGCGGCGUCGCCAACCAUGCAGUCGGGCACACCACUUGCCUGCCUCCCAGCGCUCCCAGCCAGAGGAGCAAGCCUCUCCUAUACAGAUAAUGAGGAAGAUCUGAAUUUAUACGACCGGCUGCCUGAUUCCGACUCGGACAAUGACUUUGAAUUGUACCACAUUGUUACAUUAACAAAGUCUUCAUGUAUCUUAUUCUGUUGUUCUGUUGGGAAAUGUUCUGCUUGCUGUAGCAGUGUCUUUUCCAUUCCAAUUGUAGCUUGUUUGUUGCUUUUUAUCUUUCAGAAUGUUCUCCACAUGGAGAUAUUCCUCCUAUGUGUCAGUAAUCAGACCAAUGUAAUGUUUGUUAACCCAGCUGUAAUUUGUGUCUUUUAAACCUGCAUGGAGAGCAUGUCAACUGCUUUUGAAAUGGCCUAUUCUCCAUCUUCCUGCAGGCCACUCUAUAUCUUGAAUACAGUUAUCAUUCUCA